AUGAAUUAGCUAUAGUUUGCAAUUGAUGCAAGAUGAUUUGUAGGUUCAUACUUAAUAUUAUCAUGUAUUUUGACUAUUAAUUAUCAAUUUACCUUGAUAUGCAGAGUCACAGGGCUAUGGAAAUAUUUAAACAAAUGAAAACUUGUGGUAUCCCACCUAAUGCUGCAACUUACAACAUAAUGAUUGAUUGCUGUAGCAUUAUAAGAUGCUUCAAAUCUGCUUCUGCACUAGUUUCCAUGAUGGAAAUCUGCUUCUGCAGAAAACUUGUGGUAUCCCACCUAAUGCUGCAACUUACAACAUAAUGAUUGAUUGCUGUAGCAUUAUAAGAUGCUUCAAAUCUGCUUCUGCACUAGUUUCCAUGAUGGUGCGGGAUGGGUUUUAUCCACAGACAAUGACAUAUACUGCUCUCAUAAAGGUAUCCUUUUC
rnacentral:lncRNA from 1 species